rnacentral:rRNA from 1 species
UACAGAGGGUGCGAGCGUUAAUCGGAAUUACUGGGCGUAAAGCGUGCGUAGGCGGUCAUGUAAGUCGGGUGUGAAAUCCCCGGGCUCAACCUGGGAACUGCAUCCGAGACUGCAUUGCUAGAGUAUGGGAGAGGGAAGCGGAAUUUCUGGUGUAGCAGUGAAAUGCGUAGAUAUCAGAAGGAACAUCAGUGGCGAAGGCGGCUUCCUGGACCAAUACUGACGAUCAGGUGCGAAAGCGUGGGGAGCAAACAGG